rnacentral:misc_RNA from 1 species
UUGAUUUUCAUUCGAAAAUUUGGUUGUCAGACAAUGUUAUAGACUGCAAGUUUUGAUGUUUGGUGCUAGCGGCAGGCUGACGCAGAGGUCGUUCCCGACCGAGCCGCUGCCGAAGCGAAUGGUUUUUUGGUUCACAAAGGGUUGAGAAUGCCUCUCGACGGUCAGAAACCGGAGCCGGCACCUGGUAAUGAUCCUUCCGCAGGUUCACCUACGGAAA